UCGGGAAUUUUGGGCAAUGGGCGAAAGCCUGACCCAGCAACGCCGCGUGAAGGAUGAAGUAUUUCGGUAUGUAAACUUCGAAAGAAUAGGAAGAAUAAAUGACGGUACUAUUUGUAAGGUCCGGCUAACUACGUGCCAGCAGCCGCGGUAAUACGUAGGGACCAAGCGUUGUUCGGAUUUACUGGGCGUAAAGGGCGCGUAGGCGGCGUGGUAAGUCACUUGUGAAAUCUCCGAGCUUAACUCGGAACGGUCAAGUGAUACUGCUGUGCUAGAGUACAGAAGGGGCAAUCGGAAUUCUUGGUGUAGCGGUGAAAUGCGUAGAUAUCAAGAGGAACACCUGAGGUGAAGACGGGUUGCUGGGCUGAUACUGACGCUGAGGCGCGAAAGCUAGGGUAGCAAACGGGAUUAGAUACCCAGGUAGUCCCUGAG
rnacentral:rRNA from 1 species